rnacentral:rRNA from 1 species
GAUGAACGCUGGCGGCGUGCUUAACACAUGCAAGUCGAACGAUGAAGCCCAGCUUGCUGGGUGGAUUAGUGGCGAACGGGUGAGUAACACGUGAGUAACCUGCCCUUAACUCUGGGAUAAGCCUGGGAAACAGGGUCUAAUACCGGAUAGGAGCGUCCACCGCACGGUGGGUGUUGGAAAGAUUUAUCGGUUUUGGAUGGACACGCGGCCUAUCACCUUGUUGGUGAGGGAAUGGCUCACAAAGGCGACGACGGGUAGCCGGCCUGAGAGGGUGACCGGCCACACUGGGACUGAGACACGGCCCAGACUCCUACGGGAGGCAGCAGUGGGGAAUAUUGCGCAAUGGGCGGAAGCCUGAUGCAGCGACGCCGCGUGAGGGAUGACGGCCUUCGGGUUGUAAACCUCUUUCAGUAGGGAAGAAGCGAAAGUGACGGUACCUGCAGAAGAAGCACCGGCUAACUACGUG